rnacentral:rRNA from 1 species
AAUGAACGCUGGCGGCAGGCCUAACACAUGCAAGUCGAGCGGAUCCUUCGGGAUUAGUGGCGGACGGGUGAGUAACGCGUGGGAACAUGCCCAAAGGUACGGAAUAGCCUCGGGAAACUGGGAGUAAUACCGUAUGUGCUCGAAAGAGGAAAGAUUUAUCGCCUUUGGAUUGGCCCGCGUUGGAUUAGGUAGUUGGUGGGGUAAUGGCCUACCAAGCCGACGAUCCGUAGCUGGUUUGAGAGGAUGAUCAGCCACACUGGGACUGAGACACGGCCCAGACUCCUACGGGAGGCAGCAGUGGGGAAUCUUAGACAAUGGGGGAAACCCUGAUCUAGCCAUGCCGCGUGAUCGAUGAAGGCCUUAGGGUUGUAAAGAUCUUUCAGGUGGGAAGAUAAUGACUGUACCACCAGAAGAAGCCCCGGCUAACUCCGUGCCAGCCGCCGCCGUAA